rnacentral:rRNA from 1 species
GAUGAACGCUGGCGGCGCGCCUAACACAUGCAAGUCGAACGGCACCCCUCUCCGGAGGGAAGCGAGUGGCGAACGGCUGAGUAACACGUGGAGAACCUGCCCCCUCCCCCGGGAUAGCCGCCCGAAAGGACGGGUAAUACCGGAUACCCCGGGGUGCCGCAUGGCGCCCCGGCUAAAGCCCCGACGGGAGGGGAUGGCUCCGCGGCCCAUCAGGUAGACGGCGGGGUGACGGCCCACCGUGCCGACAACGGGUAGCCGGGUUGAGAGACCGACCGGCCAGAUUGGGACUGAGACACGGCCCAGACUCCUACGGGAGGCAGCAGUGGGGAAUCUUGCGCAAUGGGGGGAACCCUGACGCAGCGACGCCGCGUGCGGGACGGAGGCCUUCGGGUCGUAAACCGCUU